rnacentral:rRNA from 1 species
CCAGACUCCUACGGGAGGCAGCAGUGGGGGAUAUUGCACAAUGGGGGAAACCCUGAUGCAGCGACGCCGCGUGGGUGAAGAAGUAUUUCGGUAUGUAAAGCCCUAUCAGCAGGGAAGAAAGAAGACGGUACCUGACUAAGAAGCCCCGGCUAACUACGUGCCAGCAGCCGCGGUAAUACGUAGGGGGCGAGCGUUAUCCGGAUUCACUGGGUGUAAAGGGAGCGUAGACGGCCGUGCAAGCCAGGAGUGAAAGCCCGGGGCCCAACCCCGGGACUGCUCUUGGAACUGUGCGGCUGGAGUGCGGGAGGGGCAGGCGGAAUUCCUGGUGUAGCGGUGAAAUGCGUAGAUAUUAGGAGGAACACCGGUGGCGAAGGCGGCUUACUGGACUGUAACUGACGUUGAGGCUCGAAAGCGUGGGGAGCAAACAGGAUUAGAUACCCCAGUA